rnacentral:rRNA from 1 species
GACGAACCGUGCGAACGUUGUUCGGAUUCACUGGGCUUAAAGCGCGCGCAGGCGGUCAUCUACGUCUGGGGUGAAAGCCCGGAGCUCAACUCCGGGAUUGCCUUGGAUACGGGAUGACUUGAGGAUCGGAGAGGCAAGGGGAAUUCCACGUGUAGCGGUGAAAUGCGUAGAGAUGUGGAGGAACACCUGUGGCGAAGGCGCCUUGCUGGCCGAUUUCUGACGCUGAGGCGCGAAAGCGUGGGGAGCAAACAGG